UCUCCAGACUCCUACGGGAGGCAGCAGUGGGGGAUAUUGCACAAUGGGGGGAACCCUGAUGCAGCGACGCCGCGUGGGUGAAGAAGUAUUUCGGUAUGUAAAGCCCUAUCGGCAGGGAAGAAAUUGGGCGGUACCUGACUAAGAAGCCCUGGCUAACUACGUGCCAGCAGCCGCGGUAAUACGUAGGGGGCAAGCGUUAUCCGGGUUCACUGGGCGUAAAGGGAGCGUAGACGGCGACGCAAGUCUGGGGUGAAAGCCCGGGGCGCAACCCCGGGACUGCUCUGGAAACUGCGUCGCUGGAGUACGGGAGGGGCAGGCGGAAUUCCUGGUGUAGCGGUGAAAUGCGUAGAUAUCAGGAGGAGCACCGGCGGCGAAGGCGGCCUGCUGGACCGUGACUGACGUUGAGGCGCGAGAGCGUGGGGAGCAAACAGGAUUAGAUACCCGCGUAAA
rnacentral:rRNA from 1 species